CGGCGGACGGGUGAGUAACGCGUGGGUAACCUGCCCUGUACACACGGAUAACAUACCGAAAGGUAUGCUAAUACGGGAUAAUAUAAGAAAUUCGCAUGUUUUUCUUAUCAAAGCUCCGGCGGUACAGGAUGGACCCGCGUCUGAUUAGCUAGUUGGUGAGGUAAUGGCUCACCAAGGCGACGAUCAGUAGCCGACCUGAGAGGGUGAUCGGCCACAUUGGAACUGAGACACGGUCCAAACUCCUACGGGAGGCAGCAUG
rnacentral:rRNA from 1 species